UGAGAUUAAGAGUCUCUUAUGAGUUGUCUCCCUCCCCAUCGCAUCUUGUUUCAUUUUUUCCCUCCCUAACGCCCACAACCCCCAACCCUUGCCUUCAAAUUCCUCAUAUCAGAGAGAUCAUAUGAUAAUUGUCUUUCUCUGAUUGACUUAUUUUUCU